rnacentral:rRNA from 1 species
UACGUAGGCAGCAAGCGUUUGUUCGGAGUUACUGGGCGUAAAGCGUGCGUAGGUGGUGAGUUAAGUCUGUCGUGAAAGCCCCGGGCUCAACCUGGGAAUGGCGAUGGAUACUGGCUCGCUAGAGUGCGGUAGAGGAGAGUGGAAUUCCCGGUGUAGCAGUGAAAUGCGUAGAGAUCGGGAGGAACAUCAGUUGCGAAGGCGGCUCUCUGGACCAGCACUGACACUGAGGCACGAAGGCCAGGGGAGCAAACGGG